rnacentral:rRNA from 1 species
UACGUAGGGGGCAAGCGUUGUCCGGAAUUAUUGGGCGUAAAGCGCGCGCAGGCGGCUUUGUAAGUUUGGUGUUUAAUCUCAGAGCUCAACUCUGAUUCGCAUCGAAAACUGCAAGGCUUGAGUACAGAAGAGGAAGUGGAAUUCCACGUGUAGCGGUGAAAUGCGUAGAGAUGUGGAGGAACACCAGUGGCGAAGGCGACUUUCUGGGCUGUAACUGACGCUGAGGCGCGGAAAGCGUGGGGAGCAAACAGG